CUCGUCUCUGUAUCUUUAAUUCCAACGUCAACUCACAUACACGUAUUUUUAUAAUCAAACGCCGCGCUAGCGAGACCCAUCCUCUCGAUGUUUGUUACAAUGGAGGCAUAAAACACUGAUAAAGAUAAGAUCCAUUCGGAGCUCGAUUUUGGGCUUACGGGCACCGCACGAACGGAGACGAGGACGAGAGCAUCGAUGUCACAAUGGUUUGUCUAGUCGCGGGUCAGCUGCCUGAGCCCCAAGAGCGAUGAAUCUGUGGAUUUCGAAGGCAGACAACGGAAUGCGAUACUUAUCGCGUUUAGUUGUUCAUCCAACAAACGAUACACCGCUGCACUCUUCGUAUGGCGUUCUUCGCCCUAACGCUCGAAUGUCCGCAUCGCCGCAUCGCCUCGACCACCGUACGAAACUUCUUCCUUGUCCUCUCGGAUCUCGUGAUCAAUUUAGAUUCAUUGGACAACGAUCAGAUUUUGGAAUAUCCCUAUUAUACAUACCGACGUAAAAGGUGCGAUUCGUUCGUAUAGCCUUCGGUAUAAUAAUAACCCGGACGGUUUCGCCGAUAUGAAUCGGUUGGAAAAAUAUUACUUUUCAAAAUUCGAUUCGUGCGAAUAUUUCUAGUGAAUUUGCUGCCUCUGCAAUAUCGCAAUUCGAACGUUUCGCAGUUUCGAGCGAGGUAUCAUUCGUUUCUCGGUGUUUCAUCACAUGGCGAAAUUGAUGCCUUUUGAUUUUUCGACACAGCGUAUAUACAAACAGGUAAAUAUAUCUAUCCUUGUCUACCUACGAGGAAUUUUAUUACGCGCACAAAUAGCACUACAAUUCUGUUUGCAAUCAUAGCUGCGUUAUAGCUGUUUUAUACUAUGUGACGCGGCCUUGAUAUACCGGCGCUCCAAACUCCCAUCUUAUUAACACGUGCGUGUGUGUGUGUGUGUGUGUGUGUAGGUACGUCGCAUUAUUUCAUUAUGUACGCGUUAUGAAUUACGGAGCGCCGGCGCGGAAAAAGAGAAAAAGAUUCACGAAAUUAAAAAGAAAAAAAAAUUUCAUCUCAUGCGGAAACUUCCAUCGGAACAGACGUCGAAAUUGAAACAUGCGGAAGUUCGAUUUGAAUUUGAAAUGUCAAAACUCGAUCGAUUCACACCUGUGUAAGGUUGUACCGUAUACGGUGAAUGUAUACCGUACAGAUUUCCGGAAGGACAUUUAGUUGCACAAGGUAGAAAAUUUUCAUUAACGUUCUGCGCACCUUCUAUUAUAUCGAGAACGAAAAGGAAGAGAGGAAAAAAAUCAAAUAAAAAGCACUUCGAUACCGUUGACGACGUUAUCAUAUUUACUCAUCGUUCUGCAGAUAACACCGUCGAGUCUUAUCCGACGUUAUCAGCGCAUGCCUGGAACAAAAGUAUAUAUUUGUUCCGCCCGUAUACGUUUAAUGUAAGAUGUGCAUUCUCUAUUCCGUUAUGUACUCAAACACACUCCUAUAAGAGGCUGAGGUGUGCAUCGAAGCUUUGAAAGCGCCAGCGUUAAUGCGAGUGCAGCAGCCAUCGCUGCGGCAAAUAUUUAGCUACGAAACCUCGCAAACUUGAAAUUUUAUGGACGUAGAUGAUUACGUGAUGCCGCUGCUCAUUGGAUCGUUGUGGAAUAAAUUAUUAAAACAAAAGAGAAAAAAA